rnacentral:antisense_RNA from 1 species
CGUUAUGGCGGCUGUGCACGGGAGACCUUAGGGUCUGCCGGGUUCCUUCUUACCCGGUCCGCUAACCCGUGCAUAGCUGCCACCCAG